UUCAUUCAAACCCUUGGUCGUUUAGUCACUUGAUGAUGAAAGACUCAUGAACAACAAAGAAGUUGAGAAGUGAAAACUUUAGUAGAAUUCAAGCAAGUCAAGCAUAAUAGAUUGACUCUCACCGCAGCGAAAAGGCAUUCUCACUGCAACAAAAUUCUGGCCAGAUAAAAUCUAAGGGGAUUUCACUACCAUCACAUGGGCAAUAUCACCAUCCAUCUCCC
rnacentral:lncRNA from 1 species